AGAUGGGGAAACAGUUUACACAGCUGGUUCAGAGUCCCAGGGCUGCUCAAGGCAGAGAUCUGAACCCAGGCAGUUUGAUGUCCUAGUCUGUGUUUUUCAUGCUCCUCUUGGCUUAGCCUAAAUUUGGCAAAAUCUACUGUAUCUACUGAUUCAUUUUUUAAAAAAUGUUACCCGGCCCUGGUACUAAUUCCACGAAGUGAGUUUUGAGGCUUCCUUCCCCCUUUCUAUCUCAGUUACCAUUUGCAGAACAUUUUAAUAUGGCAAAUUCUAUCAUAGAUGGACACACACACACACACUCGUACUGACUUCUGUAACUUGCAAAGAGUUCUUAAGAAGAAAGUUUGUUUAAUUAAAAAGGAAUGAGAAAUGCAGCCAGAUUAACAUUCUUUGGUAAUAACUUUGGAGUUUGAACUUCAGCUUUAGGUGGUAGUUCUGGAAAUAAGAAUGGUAUAUUGUUAGACUGUGAGAUAUAUUUAAAUUGGGUGUGUGUGUUUCUGGAGUUCCCUUCAUGGCUCAGUGGUUAAUGAAGCCAACUAGAAUCCAUGAGGAUGCAGGGAUCGAACCCACAUGCUCAUGGACACUGUGUCAGUUUCUUAAGCCACUGAGCCAGGACAAGAACACCCACACACAUUGAUUGAUCAAGCCCUUUAUUGAUCAUUGAUCAGUGAUUAAUCUAGGUCUUGGGAAAGCAGGGGAGAAAAGAGGGCCAACAUCCUGGCCCUCAAGAAGCCCACUUUCUUUUGGACAAGAAAGACAAGAAGAAGGAAGCAAGAUAGUUUAGAUCAUGGCAGAACUACACAAUAACAGUAAAGAGCCAAAGAACUAGAGCCACGUUUCUGGAACCUGGCCUGCUCUUAGAUUACUAAGCACUAGCUUUUUAUGGAAAAAAGAGGAAAAAUAUCUGCUAUACACUCACCACCAUAAAAUCAUGGCGAGAAAAAACAGGGUGUGGUCAUCAGGUGAUACAGAAAAAGCACAUCCUGUCCUUUCUUAGUCCUGAGUGAUGCACGGUCCCCGUGAGGGCUGGCACGGAUCCCUUGUCCUUGCUGACACCCGCCUUGGGCUUAGUGGGUGGUCCAUGCUUAUUUGUUGUCUAAAUAGAUAUAUGGAAUCUGGCUGUUGUGACUUCAUUUAGUAAUGAGGAUCCAUGCUUCUUAUUUUAAAAAUCCACCACUUUUUAUUGCUUCUUUCAGUUUCAGUAGGUGUAGGCAGAUGCAUAGAAGGAGAUUGAAAGGCUCUGUAAUUACUUUCCACCCACCCGCAGCCCAGGUCCCCAGGCUGUCACUCUCAUUCCUCCUUUUAACUUCCACAGGGGCCACAUCGGGGGAACGUGCCUCGCUGUGCUGAAGAAUAGUUUACUGGAAAAGGAAUAAUACCACUAGUCAAUUUUUAAAUAGUCUUUCCCCUUUUCUUUCAUCCUAAGGAUGAAAAGCAUCUCAAAGCAUUUUUCCCUAUCUUAAUAAUAUUGAAAUAAAAAUAGUAAAGUGUAGAAAUUUAGCAAGUGCAAAGAUGAACACUUCUUUCUGGACCCCUUAUUUUCAAGGCAGAGAUCUUGGGUCUCAGAGGAGAUAUUUAGGGUGUCACAGCUGAUUGAUGAUGGAGAUGAGACCACAGGGAAGGCCUUGUGGCUUCCAUUAACUCUGGCUCUAACAGCCUUAAUGCGUGAGAUCACCCACACCAACCUCGAAAAUUCAACAUCAACCUAAAGAUCUCGCUUCUCCUCCUGAAACUGGGUGACAGGAGGUGUCCUCAUGAGCAAAGGGGACACGAUCCGGUAGAUGACACUCUUCCAGCAGGCGGGGAGUUCCUGAGAACAGUUCACUCUUGCGGGCUCCCUGGAGUCAAUCCAUCAGCUUUCCUGUCCAAAGCACUUUCUCAGACCUAUGCAGUACCCCUGAUGCUUCCUUGCUAAAUCAGCAGCUUAACUUAUUUACCCCGUAUCUUUUAUCUCAGUUUUCUGGUUGUAUUUUAUCUAAGUCAUCUUUACUUUAGUUGAGCUAAAGCUGUGGUUUUGCAAAUUAAAUCAGUUGUGGGUUUCUGCAUAUAUCUCCUCCAUAUGUUUACUAAGCUUUUUUUUCUUUAAAAAAAUAACAGUAUAUGUCUGUUUUCAUCUUACUAGUUGUGUGAUGGAAGCUUUGGUUUGCUUAAGGGUCUUUAAAACAAAUUCAGAACUAUUUACAAGAGCAUGUUUUAAGAAACCAAAAUAUUUUUAAAUGACUGGUUUAAUCUUCAUCUUUAGCUAAAGUUGAAUUCCCUUAAAGUUUAUCAGUUUGUCCAUAAUGAAUAAGUCAGGUGGCUUUUGAGUCUGGACUUUAGGCAAAGAGAAGGUACUUCACAUUUUUCAACAAGGAAAAGAUUUGGAGAGACAUUCCUUAUGGCUCCAGUGGAAGAGGAAUAGACAGCCUGCAAAGAAAAGGGGUCAGUACUAAUUAGGAAUCUAUUGCAAUGAUCUAGGGGAAAGAGCUAAAGUUCUCAAGCUAAAGGAUUGAAGAGUAAAAUACAGAAGAAAUCAUCAGAUAAAAUGUUUGGGUCUUGUCACACAAGAGAUGGCUGUAAGAGAUGAAAAUAAAGGAGCACUCACAGUUGAUUCCAAUAUUUAUAGGUUGGAAGAUGAAGUAGAUGGUAAUUCCAUUGAUCGAGACAAAAGAGAGAGGAGAGAGAUGGGCGUUGAGGAAAAGGAAGGAUUCGUAUUUAUCUUGGCUGUGCUUGAGGAGCUGGUGGAAUAACAGUGGAGAGGUUGGCAUGGAGUUAGAGGUAUGGGACAGAAGGAUGUGCAAGUUCAGGUCCAAAAGAUGUACUUUGUGAAGCUACCGCUAAUCAGAGGGUCAACAAAGCCAUCAACAUGGGUGAGCUUAGCCAGAAAGGAGUCAGGACAAAAGCUGGACAUGUUCCAUAAAUUUAGGAAAAGGAAUGGAACCAUCCAAGGAGCCUGAAGCUCGGCCACAGAGAGGGAAAAACAAAAGGAGGGAGAGAGGGGAGUCAGCCGUGUUUGUGUGACAUCAAGGAGGAAGACCAAGAUGAGGCAGUGGAUCUGGAAACUGGGCAGAGCAAGGGCAGCAGAGUGGUGGGCAGCAGAAGCCAAGUGGCAGAGGAUAGAGAAGCUGAUGGAAGGUGGGGAAGGGAAGCUUCCUGGGGAAGGAGAAGCCCCAGGGCCACAUCUGCAGGAGAAGUGAAGUCAGAUGUGGUCAGAGGAUGGGACACAUGAUGGAGGGGAGAGGCUGAAGCCACAAGGAUGAUGAGGUGGAGGGAAAGAAUAGGUCAGGGAUGUGGCCAGGGCUGCAAUCACACACAGGGCAUUCGGGCAGGGGAGGUGGAGAAGAGGUAAGCCGAACCAGAGGGGAGGGAGUUGAACAAAUUCAUGUCAUGUGGCUUCCAGGUUCUCGUUAAAAUAAAUAAGCUCAUCUGCUAAAAAAGAAGGCAGAGUUGUGGUUUCAGAGAAUAAGGAGAAAAAGCGUGGAACAGUCUGUCUAGGAAGCAGGAAAGGAAACAGAUGAGGAAUGAGAUUUCAAGAAUAUUUAUGAUUGUUGGCAAAUUUGGGAAUACAUUAUUGGUUGCUUUUUAUUGUGGUAAAAAUAUACAUAGCAUGUCAUUUACUGUUUUAACCGUUUUAAGUGUAUGAUUUGGUGGCAUUAAUCAGAUUCACCAUGUUGUGCAGCCGUCACCACGACCAAUUUCCAGAACUUUUUCAUCAUCCCAAACAAAUUCUGAACACACUAAGCAGUAAGGCCCUGAUACUCCCAUCAUGCCCUGGUUAUCAUUAUUCUCCUGUGUUUGUGAAUUUGCCUGUUUAUAUAUCUCAUAGUGUUGGUUGGUUUUAAAGCAUAAAGUAAGAGGAGAUAACAAGAAGAUAGUAAUUCUAACUAUAAUGUUUCAUAAAUAAAGAGGUCAUUCUUAA
rnacentral:lncRNA from 1 species